CCGUACAUGCACGCAGCUGAUCAGCCAUUCCGCGUGCAGGAUGAAGGCCUUCGGGUUGUAACUGCUUUUGUACAGAACGAAGAGGCUCUGGUUAAUACCCGGGGCUCAUGACGGUACUGUAAGAAUAAGCACCGGCUAACUACGUGCCAGCAGCCGCGGUAAU
rnacentral:rRNA from 1 species